AGACCAGGGGUCGGCAACCUGCGGCACGCAUGCCAAAGGCGGCACACGAGCUGAUUUUUAUUGGCACGCUGCUGCCAGGCAGGGUCCCGGCCGCCGCCCCCGUUCAGCCCACUGCCGGCCUGGGGUUCUGUCUGCUGUACACCAUAAGUAGCAC